GACGAACGCUGGCGGCGUGCCUAAUACAUGCAAGUAGAACGCUGAAGGAGGAGCUUGCUCUUCUGGAUGAGUUGCGAACGGGUGAGUAACGCGUAGGUAACCUGCCUGGUAGCGGGGGAUAACUAUUGGAAACGAUAGCUAAUACCGCAUAACAGUAGAUGUCGCAUGACAUUUGCUUAAAAGGUGCAAUUGCACCACUACCAGAUGGAUCUGCGUUGUAUUAGCUAGUUGGUGAGGUAACGGCUCACCAAGGCAACGAUACAUAGCCGACCUGAGAGGGUGAUCGGCCACACUGGGACUGAGACACGGCCCAGACUCCUACGGGAGGCAGCAGUAGGGAAUCUUCGGCAAUGGACGGAAGUCUGACCGAGCAACGCCGCGUGAGUGAAGAAGGUUUUCGGAUCGUAAAGCUCUGUUGUAAGAGAAGAACGAGUGUGAGAGUGGAAAGUUCACACUGUGACGG
rnacentral:rRNA from 1 species